AAGCGGCAACAGCUCAAAUUUGAAAUCUGGCGUCUUCGGCGUCCGAGUUGUAAUUUGCAGAGGGCGCUUUGGCAUUGGCAGCGGUCCAAGUUCCUUGGAACAGGACGUCACAGAGGGUGAGAAUCCCGUACGUGGUCGCUAGCCUUUACCGUGUAAAGCCCCUUCGACGAGUCGAGUUGUUUGGGAAUGCAGCUCUAAAUGGGAGGUAAAUUUCUUCUAAAGCUAAAUACUGGCCAGAGACCGAUAGCGCACAAGUAGAGUGAUCGAAAGAUGAAAAGCACUUUGGAAAGAGAGUUAAAAAGCACGUGAAAUUGUUGAAAGGGAAGCGCUUGCAGCCAGACUUGCCUGUAGUUGCUCAUCCGGGUUUCUACCCGGUGCACUCUUCUACGGGCAGGCCAGCAUCAGUUUGGGCGGUUGGAUAAAGGUCUCUGUCAUGUACCUCUCUUCGGGGAGAACUUAUAGGGGAGACGACAUGCAACCAGCCUGGACUGAGGUCCGCGCAUCUGCUAGGAUGCUGGCGUAAUGGCUGUAAGCGGCCCGUCUUGAAACACGGACCAAGGAGUCUAACAUCUAUGCGAGUGUUUGGGUGUCAAGCCGAGCGCGUAAUGAAAGUGAACGGAGGUGGGAACCUUUCGGGGUGCACCAUCGACCGAUCCUGAUGUCUUCGGAUGGAUUUGAGUAAGAGCAUAGCUGUUGGGACCCGAAAGAUGGUGAACUAUGCUUGAAUAGGGUGAAG
rnacentral:rRNA from 1 species